rnacentral:tRNA from 1 species
GGGCCGGUUGCGCAACGGAUAACGCGCCUGACUACGGAUAAGGAGAUUCCAGGUUCGAAACCUGGCUGGCUCG